rnacentral:rRNA from 2 species
GCUAAAUACGUGCCAGCAGCCGCGGUAAUACGUAGGUGGGCAAGCGUUAUCCGGAUUUAUUGGGCGUAAAGCGAGCGCAGGCGGUUUUUUUAAGUCUGAUGUGAAAGCCCUCGGCUUAACCGAGGAAGUGCAUCGGAAACUGGGAAACUUGAGUGCAGAAGAGGACAGUGGAACUCCAUGUGUAGCGGUGAAAUGCGUAGAUAUAUGGAAGAACACCAGUGGCGAAGGCGGCUGUCUGGUCUGUAACUGACGCUGAGGCUCGAAAGCAUGGGUAGCGAACAGGAUUAGAUACCCUGGUAGUCCAUGCCGUAAACGAUGAAUGCUAGGUGUUGGAGGGUUUCCGCCCUUCAGUGCCGCAGCUAACGCAUUAAGCAUUCCGCCUGGGGAGUACGACCGCAAGGUUGAAACUCAAAGGAAUUGACGGGGGCCCGCACAAGCGGUGGAGCAUGUGGUUUAAUUCGAAGCAACGCGAAGAACCUUACCAGGUCUUGACAUCUUUUGAUCACCUGAGAGAUCAGGUUUCCCCUUCGGGGGCAAAAUGACAGGUGGUGCAUGGUUGUCGUCAGCUCGUGUCGUGAGAUGUUGGGUUAAGUCCCGCAACGAGCGCAACCCUUAUGACUAGUUGCCAGCAUUUAGUUGGGCACUCUAGUAAGACUGCCGGUGACAAACCGGAGGAAGGUGGGGAUGACGUCAAAUCAUCAUGCCCCUUAUGACCUGGGCUACACACGUGCUACAAUGGAUGGUACAACGAGUUGCGAGACCGCGAGGUCAAGCUAAUCUCUUAAAGCCAUUCUCAGUUCGGACUGUAGGCUGCAACUCGCCUACACGAAGUCGGAAUCGCUAGUAAUCGCGGAUCAGCACGCCGCGGUGAAUACGUUCCCGGGCCUUGUACACACCGCCCGUCACACCAUGAGAGUUUGUAACACCCGAAGCCGGUGGCGUAACCCU